UCCCUUGUGGCUCAGCUGGUAAAGCAUCUGCCUGCAAUGCAGGAGACCUGGGUUUGAUUCCUGGGUUGGGAA
rnacentral:tRNA from 1 species